AUGUGUUAUAGCUUUAGGUUUCGUUGUGUAAUGUUUUGUAUGAGUUAUAUGUUUAAUUCAAACUUAAGAAUGUGUUUUAGCUUUAGGUUUCGUAUAAAUUGUCAAAAUGCUUACUUAUACCGUGUUAGGAUAUUGGUUAUCUACUGGGUCUCUAAAAAUGAGAAAUGUGUCCAGCGAAUAACCACAAUGGUCAAUUACUGUGGGGUAACCGACGGACGAUGUCAACAGGCAUUAGCCUACAGCAGUUGUGGUCAGACAUGUGAGUAAGAACGGCAAAGUGAGAAGUGUUCCGGCACAAACAGAGAAGACUACGGUUUAUUGAAAACCUAGGAUCUUUAUUGAGAGAGAG
rnacentral:lncRNA from 1 species